AGGGUUGGGUGGAGGCUCU
rnacentral:ncRNA from 2 species